UUGGCUGGGCUGCAAAAAUAUUCGUUGUGGGUCGCGAGUUUGACAUGCUUGAUGUAAAGGGUAGGCAGCUCAGACUUCUGGAAGGACAUUUUAGCUCAGAAGCUUAAGCUUUUAAUAGGUAUUCAGUAUUUGCAAAGUAGAGUAUGCCUGCUUCUGGACUAAGUGAAUUUAGCAUGUUUUAAGAAUUUAGAAUCUACACAUAUGUUCAGAGCAG